GACGAACGCUGGCGGCGUGCUUAACACAUGCAAGUCGAACGGAAAGGCCCUGCUUUUGUGGGGUGCUCGAGUGGCGAACGGGUGAGUAACACGUGAGUAACCUGCCCUUGGCUUUGGGAUAACUUCAGGCAACUGGUGAUAAUACCGGAUAGGAGCUCCUGAUGCAUGGGGGGGGUUGGAAAGUUUCUGCGGUUGUGGAUGGAGUCGGGGCUUAUGAGUUUGUUGGUGGGGGAGUGUCUUACCAGGGCUUUGACUGAUGGCCGGCCUGAGAGGGUGACCGGCCACAUUGGGACUGAGAUACGGACCAGACUCCUACGGGAGGCAGCAGGGGGGAAUAUUGCACAAUGGGCGGAAGCCUGAUGAAGCAACCCCGCGUGCGGGAUGACGGCCUUCGGGUUGUAAACCGCUUUCGCCUGUGACGAAGCGUUAGUGACGGUAAUGGGUAAAGAAGCACCGGCUAACUACGUG
rnacentral:rRNA from 1 species